GAUGAACGCUAGCGGGAGGCUUAACACAUGCAAGUCGAAGGGCAGCACGUCUUCGGAUGGUGGCGACUGGCGAACGGGUGCGUAACGCGUAUGCAAUCUACCCUCAACAGGGGAAUAGCCCAGAGAAAUUUGGAUUAAUACCCCAUAGUAUUACAGAUUCGCAUGUUUCUGUGAUUAAAGUUCCAACGGUUGAGGAUGGGCAUGCGUGACAUUAGCUUGUUGGUGAGGUAACGGCUCACCAAGGCAACGAUGUCUAGGGGUUCUGAGAGGAUGAUCCCCCANACUGGUACUGAGACACGGACCAGACUCCUACGGGAGGCAGCAGUGAGGAAUAUUGGACAAUGGGCGCAAGCCUGAUCCAGCCAUGCCGCGUGCAGGAUGACGGUCCUAUGGAUUGAACCUGCUUUUUGACGAGAAGAAACACUCCGACGUGUCGGAGCUUGACGGUAUCGUAAGAUAAGGAUCGGCUAACUCCGUGCCAG
rnacentral:rRNA from 1 species